rnacentral:siRNA from 1 species
AUCAGCUCGCGUUGACUACGUCCC